CCUUACUACAUGGAUACCUGUGGUAAUUCUAGAGCUAAAACAUGCUAAAAACCUCGACUUCGGAAGGGGUGUAUUUAUUAGAUAAAAAACCAAUGCCCUUCGGGGCUCCUUGGUGAAUCAUAAUAACUUAGCGAAUCGCAUGGCCUUGCGCCGGCGAUGGUUCAUUCAAAUUUCUGCCCUAUCAACUUUCGAUGGUAGGAUAGUGGCCUACCAUGGUGGCAACGGGUAACGGGGAAU
rnacentral:rRNA from 1 species